AUGGCGCAACAAUAUGCAAACAGAAUAUUGGAGAAGAGCACCCCACUAUGCAAUGGUAGAGAAAGUAAUGCAGAUAAGGUUCAAGAUAGUGAGACAACCCUGUUGGUCUCCAAGAAAGGUGAUAAAAAUGAUCUUGUAGACAGUGAGAAAACCCCACAGUCCUGCGUUGGUGUAGUGUUCGAGUUACUGGCCAGUACCGCUGGCACAAGCUCUUCGAACUCGCUGCCUGAAUCACUUCGGCUUCUUCAGUCUCAGCUACAAGCUGAAAGGCAUCAGUCAGCUGUGCUGCGGCAAGAAGCCGAAGGACUGAGGAAGUCCCUGCAGAAUUCAAAUGCGUACUUUCUUGUGCAACAUCAAUCGCUGGAGGAUUUAAGUGCCAAACAAGAGAAAGUUAAUAAGCUUGCUAAGCAUCUUGCCAGCAUUAUGGGUACCCAGGAUAUUGUUUCUUGA
rnacentral:rRNA from 1 species